rnacentral:misc_RNA from 1 species
GAUGAAGAACGUAGCGAAAUGCGAUAAGUAAUGUGAAUUGCAGAAUUCAGUGAAUCAUCGAAUCUUUGAAUGCACAUUGCGCCCGCCAGUAUUCUGGCGGGCAUGCCUGUUCGAGCGUCAUUUCAACCAUCAAGCCCCCGGCUUGUGUUGGGGACCUGCGGCUGCCGCAGGCCCUGAAAACCAGUGGCGGGCUCGCUAGUCACUCCGAGCGUAGUAAUACAUCUCGCUCAGGGCGUGCUGCGGGUUCCGGCCGUUAAAAAGCCUUAUUUACCCAAGGUUGACCUCGGAUCAGGUAGGAAGACCCGCUGAACUUAAGCAUAUCAAUAAGCGGAGGA